UUAAGCAUAUCAAUAAGCGGAGGAAAAGAAACCAACAGGGAUUGCCCUAGUAACGGCGAGUGAAGCGGCAACAGCUCAAAUUUGAAAUCUGGCGUCUUUGGCGUCCGAGUUGUAAUUUGCAGAGGGCGCUUUGGCGUUGGCAGCAGUCUAAGUUCCUUGGAACAGGACGUCACAGAGGGUGAGAAUCCCGUACGUGGUUGCUGGCCUUCGCCGUGUAAAGCCCCUUCGACGAGUCGAGUUGUUUGGGAAUGCAGCUCUAAAUGGGAGGUAAAUUUCUUCUAAAGCUAAAUACUGGCCAGAGACCGAUAGCGCACAAGUAGAGUGAUCGAAAGAUGAAAAGCACUUUGGAAAGAGAGUCAAACAGCACGUGAAAUUGUUAAAAGGGAAGCGCUUGCAGCCAGACUUGCCUGUAGUUGCUCAUCCGGACUUUUGUCCGGUGCACUCUUCUAUAGGCAGGCCAGCAUCAGUUUGGGCGGUUGGAUAAAGGUCUCUGUCAUGUACCUCUCUUCGGGGAGAACUUAUAGGGGAGACGACAUGCAACCAGCCUGGACUGAGGUCCGCGCAUUUGCUAGGAUGCUGGCGUAAUGGCUGUAAGCGGCCCGUCUUGAAACACGGACCAAGGAGUCUAACAUCUAUGCGAGUGUUUGGGUGUCAAGCCCGAACGCGUAAUGAAAGUGAACGGAGGUGGGAACCCCUCGGGGUGCACCAUCGACCGAUCCUGAUGUCUUCGGAUGGAUUUGAGUAAGAGCAUAGCUGUUGGGACCCGAAAGAUGGUGAACUAUGCUUGAAUAGGGUGAAGCCAGAGGAAACUCUGGUGGAGGCUCGCAGCGGUUCUGACGUGCAAAUCGAUCGUCUAAAUUGGGCAUAGGGGCGAAAGACUAAUCGAACUAUCU
rnacentral:rRNA from 1 species